rnacentral:rRNA from 1 species
CACGUAGUUAGCCGGGGCUUCUUACUCAGGUACCGUCAUUUAUUCUUCCCUGCUGAUAGAGCUUUACAUAACGAAUUACUUCUUCACUCGCGGCGUCGCUGCAUCAGGGUUCCCCCCAUUGUGCAAUAUCCCCCACUGCUGCCUCCCGUAGGAGUCUGGGCCGUGUCUCAGUCCCAAUGGUGGCCGUCCGCCCUCUCAGGCCGGCUACUGAUCGUCGCUUUGGUAGGCCGUUACCCUGCCAACUGGCUAACCAGACGCGGGCCCAUCGUAUACCGUCUCGGCUUUUCACACUCCAGUAUGCACUGCUGUGCGCUUAUGCGGUAUUAGCACCUAUUUCUAAGUGUUAUCCCCCUGUAUACGGUAGGUUGCCCACGCGUUACUCACCCGUCCGCCACUAAGAUACAUUUUCCUUCAGACGAAUCCUCACUUCCAAUAUAACUCCCCGUUCGACCUUUGCAUGUGUUAGGCACGCCGCCAGCGUUCACUCCUGACGCGAGAGUACAAACUCUUCG